UUUUUUUCUACUUUAUCAGUUUUCUUGCCUUUUUUUUUCAUAUUGGUUUUAGACAUGCGCCGUUAUCUUUCAACUAAUCGUUAAAAUAUUAAUAAGAAUUAUAACCAGUAAUGUGGUCUCUAAUAACUCGAGAAGUUGAUGAGACCUAAAGCUCGUAAAUAAAUAAAAAAAAUAAUCGUUAAAAGAGAUCAAUGACAAUCGGUAUGAACAAAGAUUAACAACUUCGAAACAAGUGAAAAUAAUGGGACGUUUCAUCGGGUGUUGAGUGCAACAAAGGAUAAUUUGGUGCCACUGCCCCCCACGUCCCCCAGUCCAUCUAGCAACGUCGAUAGCAGCUUAAGCAGCGUUGACAGUGAUGACAUUCUGUUCGAUCCUGAGGGUGAGGAUCUACAGUUGGAGAUAGAGCACAUGCGCCAAGAAGCCGAAGAUAUAUCGGCGGCUAUCGUAAUCCUACAGUGGGUCGUCGAUGACUGGAUUAACAAUCCGGACAUCGACGAAGAGAUCCUGGCCCAGCUACUCACGUGGCUGCAGGAUCUCUAUAAUAGGUAUUAUCACUAUUUAUACCUAUUGUAGGACGUCGAUUUGCACGAUCCAUGUGUUCUAUUCCCAACGGUGGACCUAGACUUGGUUGUCGCUGUCAUCGCUGCGUACAAUGCAUUUUGAGGGGAGGCAAGGAAGCCUUGAGGGCUCUUGGAAUAGAUACUCCCACCAGAGACAAAGUCUAUGCUGCCACCAUCGACGAGGAAACGGCUGAAGAUACUGGCGUUUUCUACGUACCACCUGAAUCCAGAGGGUAUUUGGCCCAUCCUGUACAACUGUGAUCUCAAAUGUUGCAUGUUAUCUAUUAUUGUUGAUACAUGGAGAAAAAUGUAUGAAAUGUUAUGUUGUUCAAUUCUUAUUUUAUUUCUAUUUUAUAACUUAAUAUGUUUUGUAUUCACAAAUUUAAAUUUAUUGAUGUAUUUCUCAAUCUUAUUAAAGAUACUGCAUUGUUA